AAAAAACACCAAAUUAGCAUCAGAGCCGCACAAAAAACAAAUUUAUUGUCAUUUUCUCAUUGGAGCGCAUUU
ensembl:ncRNA Y51H7BM.2 ncRNA